GAUGAACGCUGGCGGCGUGCUUAACACAUGCAAGUCGAACGGGAAUUAUUUUAUUGAGACUUCGGUCGAUUUAAUUUAAUUCUAGUGGCGGACGGGUGAGUAACGCGUGGGUAACCUGCCUUAUACAGGGGGAUAACAGUCAGAAAUGGCUGCUAAUACCGCAUAAGCGCACAGAGCUGCAUGGCUCAGUGUGAAAAACUCCGGUGGUAUAAGAUGGACCCGCGUUGGAUUAGCUGGUUGGUGGGGUAACGGCCCACCAAGGGGACGAUCCAUAGCCGGCCUGGGAGGGUGAACGGCCACAUUGGGACUGAGACACGGCCCAGACUCCUACGGGAGGCAGCAGUGGGGAAUAUUGCACAAUGGGGGAAACCCUGAUGCAGCGACGCCGCGUGAAGGAAGAAGUAUCUCGGUAUGUAAACUUCUAUCAGCAGGGAAGAUAGUGACGGUACCUGACUAAGAAGCCCCGGCUAACUACGUG
rnacentral:rRNA from 1 species